rnacentral:rRNA from 1 species
AGUGAACGCUGGCGGUAGGCCUAACGCAUGCAAGUCGAACGGCAGCACAGUAAGAGCUUGCUCUUACGGGUGGCGAGUGGCGGACGGGUGAGGAAUACAUCGGAAUCUACUUUUUCGUGGGGGAUAACGUAGGGAAACUUACGCUAAUACCGCAUACGACCUACGGGUGAAAGCAGGGGAUCUUCGGACCUUGCGCGAUUGAAUGAGCCGAUGUCGGAUUAGCUAGUUGGCGGGGUAAAGGCCCACCAAGGCGACGAUCCGUAGCUGGUCUGAGAGGAUGAUCAGCCACACUGGAACUGAGACACGGUCCAGACUCCUACGGGGGGCAGCAGUGGGGAAUAUUGGACAAUGGGCGCAAGCCUGAUCCAGCCAUACCGCGUGGGUGAAGAAGGCCUUCGGGUUGUAAAGCCCUUUUGUUGGGAAAGAAAAGCAGCAGGUUAAUACCCCGCUGUUCUGACGGUACCCAAAGAAUAAGCACCGGCUAACUUCGUG